ensembl:snRNA U6 U6 spliceosomal RNA
GUGUUCUCUUUGGCAGCACAUAUACUAAAAUUGGAAUGAUAUAGAAAAGAUUAGCAUGGUCCUUGUGCAAAGAUGACAUGCAAAUCUGUGAAGAGUUGUUUUUCCUU